rnacentral:tRNA from 1 species
ACGCUACCGACUUAAAAUCCGUUGGCUUUAUUGACCGUGAGGGUUCAAGUCCCUCUACCCCCA